rnacentral:tRNA from 1 species
UGGUUUGCUGAGUUGGUAGAGCGGUCCACUGGGAAUGGAGAGGUCCCUGGUUCGAUAUACCAGGACCA